UGAUUUGUUUUGAAUUUCAGCUUGUAGAGUGUAUGUGUGAGGUUGACAAAAAUAUUAUUGUGCAAUAGAAGUUACAGUCCACUGAUGCCGAUAUUUUCCACAGUUUAAGGAAUUAAUAUCUUUUCUGGUUGUGCCGAAAGUGGAUUCACGUCAUGAAUUUUAAAUAAAACGUAUAUUUUUUUAUUCCAAUCGAUAGAACAUGAAACUCUCUUUCAGAAGAUACACCUCUUUCCUCGGCAAAACUUCCAAAACCAAAAUUUUCCACCAGCUCACAUACAUUUUUCACAUGUAUUUUUGAAAUGACUUAUAGAAAAAGAGAUGAACUAUGAUAUUGAAGUUGAAAAAAUACCAUUUUCAAUAAGAUUUUAGAGAAAAUUGAAGUGGAUGUGGCAGUUCAUAUUCUUGAAGUCUUUGUCGAAAACUUGUUAAACCUCGAUUUUGUUCCAAACGCCACCAAAUUGUUUGACGUAGAUGACGUAAUGGCACCGUCACAUUGAAUUUUGGAAAAUAAGUCUGUGUCAACAUUUUGACAAGAGAAUUUCAUGUUCCAUUGAAUGGUGUAGAAUCUAACCUAACCUAAACAGGGUUUGAUUUAAAAAUCGUGACAAAAUUUCUUGUUAACUGGAAAAAAUAUUUAAUUGCUUCAUUGUUGAAAAUCUCUCCCAAGAUAAGGCAAACCGCGAAAUAAAAUGAGCAUGCUGAAGCAGAAAUACAUGAUACAGAAAUAAUGAAACUGAAAUAAAUACAAACUGAAUAUGGAGUUUUUUGAACACGAAUCUUGGACAAAUAUUAAUCAUUAAAGUUUAAAAAAAUUAA